rnacentral:rRNA from 1 species
GAUGAACGCUGGCGGCGUGCUUAAUACAUGCAAGUCGAGCGAACUUUUGGGAGCUUGCUCCCAAAAGUUAGUGGCGGACGGGUGAGUAACACGUGGGUAACCUGCCUGUAAGAUUGGGAUAACUUCGGGAAACUGGAGCUAAUACCGGAUAACAGUGAAGACCACAUGGUCUUCGAUUAAAAGUUGGCUUUUAUGUACCACUUACAGAUGGUUACGCGGCGCAUUAGCUAGUUGGUGAGGUAAAGGCGCAUGAAGGCGACGAUGCGUAGGCGACAGGAGAGGGUGGUCGGCCAGACUGGGAGGGAGACACGGCCCAGACGCCUACGGGAAGCGGCAGGAGGGAAUCGGCAGCAAGGGGCGAAAAACUUACGGAGCAGCGCCGCAGGAGGAAGGAAGGACUUCGGGUCGUAAAGCUCUGUUGUUAGGGAAGAACAAGCAUCGUUCGAAUAGGGCGGUACCGUGACGGUACCUAACAAGAAAGCAACGGCUAACUACGUG